UACAGAGGUCUCAAGCGUUGUUCGGAUUCAUUGGGCGUAAAGGGCGCGUAGGUGGCCCGGUCAGUUCGUGGUGAAAGCGCGGGGCUCAACCCUGCGUCGGCCAUGAAUACUGCCGCGGCUGGAGCACUGCAGAGGCAGGCGGAAUUCCGGGUGUAGCGGUGGAAUGCGUAGAGAUCCGGAAGAACACCGGUGGCGAAGGCGGCCUGCUGGGCAGUUGCUGACACUGAGGCGCGACAGCGUGGGGAGCAAACAGG
rnacentral:rRNA from 1 species